rnacentral:rRNA from 1 species
AAAUUGAAGAGUUUGAUCAUGGCUCAGAUUGAACGCUGGCGGCAGGCCUAACACAUGCAAGUCGAGCGGUAGCACAGAGGAGCUUGCUCCUUGGGUGACGAGCGGCGGACGGGUGAGUAAUGUCUGGGAAACUGCCUGAUGGAGGGGGAUAACUACUGGAAACGGUAGCUAAUACCGCAUAACCUCGCAAGAGCAAAGAGGGGGACCUUCGGGCCUCUCGCCAUCAGAUGUGCCCAGAUGGGAUUAGCUAGUAGGUGAGGUAAUGGCUCACCUAGGCGACGAUCCUAGCUGGUCUGAGAGGAUGACCAGCCACACUGGAACUGAGACACGGUCCAGACUCCUACGGGAGGCAGCAGUGGGGAAUAUUGCACAAUGGGCGCAAGCCUGAUGCAGCCAUGCCGCGUGUGUGAAGAAGGCCUUCGGGUUGUAAAGCACUUUCAGCGGGGAGGAAGGCGGUAAGGUUAAUAACCUUGUCGAUUGACGUUACCCGCAGAAGAAGCACCGGCUAACUCCGUGCCAGCAGCCGCGGUAAUACGGAGGGUGCAAGCGUUAAUCGGAAUGACUGGGCGUAAAGCGCACGCAGGCGGUCUGUUAAGUUGGAUGUGAAAUCCCCGGGCUUAACCUGGGAACUGCAUUCAAAACUGACAGGCUAGAGUCUUGUAGAGGGGGGUAGAAUUCCAGGUGUAGCGGUGAAAUGCGUAGAGAUCUGGAGGAAUACCGGUGGCGAAGGCGGCCCCCUGGACAAAGACUGACGCUCAGGUGCGAAAGCGUGGGGAGCAAACAGGAUUAGAUACCCUGGUAGUCCACGCUGUAAACGAUGUCGAUUUGGAGGUUGUGCCCUUGAGGCGUGGCUUCCGGAGCUAACGCGUUAAAUCGACCGCCUGGGGAGUACGGCCGCAAGGUUAAAACUCAAAUGAAUUGACGGGGGCCCGCACAAGCGGUGGAGCAUGUGGUUUAAUUCGAUGCAACGCGAAGAACCUUACCUACUCUUGACAUCCAGAGAACUUAGCAGAGAUGCUUUGGUGCCUUCGGGAACUCUGAGACAGGUGCUGCAUGGCUGUCGUCAGCUCGUGUUGUGAAAUGUUGGGUUAAGUCCCGCAACGAGCGCAACCCUUAUCCUUUGUUGCCAGCGAUUCGGUCGGGAACUCAAAGGAGACUGCCGGUGAUAAACCGGAGGAAGGUGGGGAUGACGUCAAGUCAUCAUGGCCCUUACGAGUAGGGCUACACACGUGCUACAAUGGCGUAUACAAAGAGAAGCGACCUCGCGAGAGCAAGCGGACCUCAUAAAGUACGUCGUAGUCCGGAUUGGAGUCUGCAACUCGACUCCAUGAAGUCGGAAUCGCUAGUAAUCGUAGAUCAGAAUGCUACGGUGAAUACGUUCCCGGGCCUUGUACACACCGCCCGUCACACCAUGGGAGUGGGUUGCAAAAGAAGUAGGUAGCUUAACCUUCGGGAGGGCGCUUACCACUUUGUGAUUCAUGACUGGGGUGAAGUCGUAACAAGGUAACCGUAGGGGAACCUGCGGUUGGAUCACCUCCUUA